rnacentral:tRNA from 1 species
UGGCUCAGAUGGUAAAGCAUCUGCCUACAAUGCAGGAAACCCAGGUUCGAUCCCUGG